rnacentral:rRNA from 1 species
AACGAACGCUGGCGGCAUGCCUAACACAUGCAAGUCGAACGAGACCUUCGGGUCUAGUGGCGCACGGGUGCGUAACGCGUGGGAACCUGCCCUUAGGUUCGGAAUAAUUCCCCGUAAGGGGUGCUAAUACCGGAUAAUGUCUUCUGAUCAAAGAUUUAUCGACUUUGGAUGGGCCCGCGUUGGAUUAGCUAGUUGGUAGGGUAAAAGCCUACCAAGGCGACGAUCCAUAGCUGGUCUGAGAGGAUGAUCAGCCACACUGGGACUGAGACACGGCCCAGACUCCUGCGGGAGGCAGCAGUGGGGAAUAUUGGAAUAUGGGCGAAAGGAUGAUCCAGCAAUGCCGCGUGAGUGAUGAAGGCCUUAGAGUUGUAAAGCUCUUUUACCCGGGAUGAUAAUGACAGUACCGGGAGAAUAAGCUCCGGCUAACUCCGUG